CGGGGUACCACCCCCUUCCUUAUAAAAAGAGUUGGAAGGCAGGAGAGUCCUUUUGCGCCUUGCAGCGGGCAGCUCCCAUGUGUGCUCUUCCAUCCACAGUGGUCUCGGACAGACCUUCCCAAUCACAGCUCUGUUCCUGUGUGCUCGCCGUACCAGUCUCGGCUCAGGAUUUCUAUCUGUGGGAGGCAAGAACCUGCAUCCAAAAGUGGAUACAGACGUUGCCUACAUGAAACAGCUGGUGAACUCCAUCAGGACUCAUAGCCUGCAGGACCACGCUCUUGUCACAGGGCAAGAAUCGGAAGCAAGAGAAUUGUGUGAUCCACUUUGCCGAAAGCCCGAACGUGCUUGUGGAAUGGAGAGAGAACCCUGGCAGAGAGAACGGCUUUGGCUCAGAGAGAGCCUUCCUGAGAAUGCUUGGGCCAAGGGGCUGGACUGCUCCUGCCCGUCACUCCCCCGCUGUUCUGCCCCCACUCGCCCCAACAUGAAGACAGCAUGCGAUCCACAAAGCCCUGCCCAUAGCCACCCAGAUGAGGGGAGCCUGCCCAGCUACCCCCAGAACGCUUGCUGUGGCUGGAGAAAGUGUGCCCCAUUCCCAGGGACGCCCUGUUCAACGGGAAAACCAGACGCACGUGUGUCUACGUAAGGCCUUUUCCUGGCUGUGCUGCGACCGCAUCUUCACGACCCUCCCGUCCAGAGUGACGUGGGAGCUACUGCCGCCUCUCAUGUGAUUCUGAGCCUGAGAGUCAGGCGUUGGGAAGCUGAGUCAGAGCUCAGAGCUGGGUGAAGGGUCCUGGGCCGGCCGCCUGGCGCUGCCCACGCCUGCGAGCUUCCGGAAGUCCAUGGGAAGGCCUGUCAUGCGAAGACCGCGCCUGCACCCCAAAACGGUUUUGCACCAAAAUAAACUCAUCUUCUCGCAUUGUUCCACAAGCUCUUAGAAGUGGCCGCAUGGUUUUCUUGUUUUUAUUUUUUGUAUUAUUUUACUUUUUUAAAAAAGAGUUGUUUAUUUAUCUGAAAGAGCUAGAGAGAAAGAGAGAGAUCUUUAUCCACUGGUUCACUCCCCAACUGGACACCAGCUCAGGGCCAGGCUGAAGUCAGGAGCCUCCUCCGGGUCUCCCACGUGGAUACAGGGGCCCAAGCACUUGAGCCAUCUUCCUAUACUUUCCCCAGGCCACAGCGGAGAGCUGGAUUGGAAGUGGAGCAAGCGGGACUCAAACCGUCGCCCAUAUGGGAUCCUUACGUCACAGGCCUAGGCUUUUCCUGCUGUGCCACAGUGCCAGCCCCAAGCCUCAUAGUUUGAUUCUUAGUUUCCGUGGGAACCACUGUCUUCCCCCCAGCACCUUUCCUCUCUCCCUAUCUUUGAUUUUUUUUUUUUCACUUGAACCAAUCUGAAGUGUGUCCCUUCAGUCCUUGGGAACUUCUCACUACACCGAGAAAACAAGACACAACCAAAACAUGAA